GCUUGACUGUAGCUUGUAAUUGGGUUCGGGCUUUUUUUGCGCAGCCUAGGUGGGAGGCAACGAUGAUUUUUUUCCGGAAAAAUUUGAGCCGUUAGUGAGAGACCACUCUGAAAAGGCUAGAAUCCUAAUAAUGAUCCUUGAAUCAGGACAUUUGACAGUUGCAGGUGGGCAGUUUUACUGGGGCGGUAUUCUCCUAAAAAGUAACGGAGGGGUGCAAAGGUUCCCUCAAGCUGGACGGAAAUCAGCUUAAGAGUGUAAAGGCAAAAGGGAGCUUGACUGCAAGACCUACAAGUCGAGCAGGGCGAAAGCCGGCCUUAGUGAUCCGACGGUACCACGUGGAAGGGCCGUCGCUCAACGGAUAAAAGUUA
rnacentral:rRNA from 1 species